rnacentral:tRNA from 1 species
GUUCUCUUAGUUCAAUGGUUAAAACAGCAUUCUUCUAAAUUGCAGAUUUUGGUUCGAGUCCGAAAGAGAAUU